CUUCACCAAGCAGACUGAGGGUGUCAGGAGUGCACACGGAGAACACAUCCAAUGGCUUGUGAAUGACAGGACAUCUCCCAAAGGCAGCACAGGAUGCGGAAUCUGUAACACAAACUGUAGAGAUUUGCUCCUGCCGUAAGAGCUCUACUUUAGCAUCUCCUACAUGUGAGCUGGUACGGGCAGAAUAGUAAUCUGUGCUCUUCAUCCCAAUGUAUGCAGAGACAAUCUUAACAUCGUUAUAGAGAAUCACUCUAAGGAAGGGUGGUACAGAUGGCAUGGUCACAUGUGGGACAACUGUUCUUCACCUCCUUCUGAAACAAACAUCUCCCAUGCUACUAACCAAAAUCAGAAGUACUGAUAGUGUUGAUCAUGUAGCCGAGUGUUUCAUAUCCAUUGUCUGGAGAGUGAUGUCCCAGAUGUGUGGAGGGAAGUAAAGGUGCUACCCAUACUUAAGAGAGAAUUGCUCUCUGAACAUGACCCUCUUUGUCUCCUUUUAUUGGCUCUUGACAACAGACUUCCUCAGCAACUGAAGUGAGGUGCCUGAGCUAAAAAUGUACAAAUCUGUGUACAUGGCACUCAGUUCAUUCCCUGUAAUCCUUAUCACAGUAUCACAGAAUCAGUUAGGUUGGAAAAGAUCUCUGAGGUCAUUGAAUCCAACCUGUGGGUGAACGCUGCCCUGUCAACCAGACCAUGGCACUGAGUGCUACAUUCAGCCUUCCCCAAAACACCUCCAUGGAUGAUGACCACCACCACCCUGGGAAGUCAUUCCA